UGCCUCUAGAAUUAAAAUUUGAGGUACAACCUGCUCACUGCUCUAAAAAAGUAAAUAGCUGCGGUACUCUGACCGUACGAAGGUAGCAAAAGUAAGUAGUUUUCUAAUUGAAAACUGGAAUGAAUGGUAAAACCAAACUGAGACUGUCUCAAGUUUAAAAAUUGAAGUUGAACUUACAGUGAAAAUGCUGUAAUAAUUAAAAGGGACGAGAAGACCCUAUAGACCUGGGAAGAAAACCUCUUUUGUUGCAGGAUUUCUUCUUCUUUGGGGAAAAGCUUAUAAAAUUUAAGGUAAACUAAUAAAUAUUGAUCCAGAAUUAUCUGACAAUCGGAAAAAGGUACCUUAGGGAUAACAGCAUAAUACCCUAACCAAAGAGCUUAUUUGAUUAGGGGGUUGUGACCUCGAUGUUGAAUUAAGUUGUUUUAGAGGAAGCAGAAGGUCUCUAAACUAGUCUGUUCGACUAUAAAAACU
rnacentral:rRNA from 1 species